rnacentral:rRNA from 1 species
CCGAACAAGGUCUCCGUAGGUGAACCUGCGGAGGGAUCAUUACACAAAUAUGAAGGCGGGCUGGAACCUCUCGGGGUUACAGCCUUGCUGAAUUAUUCACCCUUGUCUUUUGCGUACUUCUUGUUUCCUUGGUGGGUUCGCCCACCACUAGGACAAACAUAAACCUUUUGUAAUUGCAAUCAGCGUCAGUAACAAAUUAAUAAUUACAACUUUCAACAACGGAUCUCUUGGUUCUGGCAUCGAUGAAGAACGCAGCGAAAUGCGAUAAGUAGUGUGAAUUGCAGAAUUCAGUGAAUCAUCGAAUCUUUGAACGCACAUUGCGCCCUUUGGUAUUCCAAAGGGCAUGCCUGUUCGAGCGUCAUUUGUACCCUCAAGCUUUGCUUGGUGUUGGGCGUCUUGUCUCUAGCUUUGCUGGAGACUCGCCUUAAAGUAAUUGGCAGCCGGCCUACUGGUUUCGGAGCGCAGCACAAGUCGCACUCUCUAUCAGCAAAGGUCUAGCAUCCAUUAAGCCUUUUUUCAACUUUGACCUCGAUCAGUAGAC